rnacentral:rRNA from 2 species
CCUGGUGCCUAUGGCGUGGUGGACCCACACCGAAACCAUCCCGAACUCGGUACUAGAAGUGAAACACUACAGCGGUGAAGAUACUAGAGGGGCAGCUCUCUGGGAAAAUAGCUCGGUGCCAGGAU